AACGAACGCUGGCGGCAGGCCUAACACAUGCAAGUCGAACGCUCUAGCAAUAGAGAGUGGCAGACGGGUGAGUAACGCGUGGGAACCUUCCCUAUGGUGUGGAAUAACUCGCCGAAAGGCGAGCUAAUACCGCAUAAGCCCGCAAGGGGAAAGAUUAUCGCCAUAGGAUGGGCCCGCGUAGGAUUAGCUAGUUGGUGAGGUAACGGCUCACCAAGGCGACGAUCCAGUCUGGUUUGAGAGAAUGACCAGCCACACUGGGACUGAGACACGGCCCAGACUCCUACGGGAGGCAGCAGUGGGGAAGUCUUGGACAAUGGGCGCAAGCCUGAUCCAGCCAUGCCGCGUGAGUGACGAAGGCCUUAGGGUUGUAAAGCUCUUUUGGC
rnacentral:rRNA from 1 species